rnacentral:rRNA from 1 species
UACGGGGGGGGCAAGCGUUGUUCGGAAUUACUGGGCGUAAAGGGCUCGUAGGCGGCCAACUAAGUCAGACGUGAAAUCCCUCGGCUUAACCGGGGAACUGCAUCUGAUACUGGAUGGCUUGAGAUUGGGAGAGGGAUGCGGAAUUCCAGGUGUAGCGGUGAAAUGCGUAGAGAUCGGGAGGAAGGCCGGUGGCGAAGGCGGCGCUCUGGAACGGCCCUGACACUGAGGCUCGAAAGCGUGGGGAGCAAACAGGG